AUGUGUGAGGGGAUAAGAACUGCUGAGUUCGCUUGCACUGGGUACACCACAGUUUGCAGCACAGAAUGGAAAACAGCCUCGGGGGCAGUUGCUCCCAUACUAUGCCGGUUACUGAGGAAAUGUACUUUGCAUGAAGAAGGCUGUACUAGUUCAUCUGGGUGUGAGCAGAAACAUGUCUUGUUGAUACUUCUGGAAUCCCUUACCACACUUCGGUCUCCUGCAAGACACAGCCCAGGGGAAAACAUUGUAAAAAACAAUAAAGAGGGAAGUACAGACAAAGGUAAGGAAUAUUUUGCAAAUAUAACUGUUGAUAAAAAAGCAAGAAAGACUAAUUGGAUUAACCAAUAGCAAAGCAUGAAGAAUCAAUGCAAUAUGUUUUUUUGUUUUAUUUUCCCUUUUUUUUUUCAGUAAGAAGGGAACUGCCUAAAUAAUUCAUCAAGUCAAAGAAAACAGUGGAAAUAUCAGAGGAAUCAGGGAAGAAAAUGUGGUAUUGCUCUUCAGUGAAAUAAAAAGUGACACAACUGUCA
rnacentral:lncRNA from 1 species